rnacentral:rRNA from 1 species
UGCCAGCAGCCGCGGUAAUACGGAGGGUGCGAGCGUUAAUCGGAAUCACUGGGCGUAAAGCGUACGUAGGCGGCGUAUCAAGUCAGGCGUGAAAGCCCUCGGCUCAACCGAGGAAUUGCGUCUGAAACUGGUAGUCUAGAGUCUCAUAGGGGGUAGGGGAAUUUCACGUGUAGGGGUAAAAUCCGUAGAGAUGUGAAGGAACACCGGUGGCGAAGGCGCCUACCUGGAUGAGUACUGACGCUGAGGCGCGAAAGCGUGGGGAGCAAACAGGAUUAGAUA